AUUCGUGCUUAUUUUCUUCCUCAUUUUUCUACCAGGCCCUCUUUUGCCUUUUACCAUUUCAUUCACAGCACUGAACGGCCGCCAAAUAGCCGCCAUCUCUUCCUCCACCUGGCGGCCAGAGAUCAAACUCCCCUUUCCUUCACAGCUCUGCACGGCUACCAAACUCGCUGCCAUCUCUUCCUCGUCCCUGCGUCAAACAAGCAAAAUCACACGUCUAAUCACCAAAAAUUUCACAAAAUUGAAUUCUAGUAAAGCUACAUUAUCACAUGAAUCCCUAGCUUCUCAUACUCUCUCUUAUGUCUUAUUGUUUUUUACCAGUUUAGCUCUAGUUGCGUUUUGGGUAGUACAAGUAGUAGAAGUACUGAGAACACGAAUCAGUGACUAAAUGGCGAGACAGCAGCUAAUUCCUACAAGGCUUAUCCCACAGCUUCCUUGUCCAUACCCACGCAUCUCCACCUGCCAGCAAAACAGCAGCCUGACCAGCCGCCUCAAUCGCUUGAUAGUGCAGCGACAUCACUUCGAGUGGACAAGUGUUGUUUCUCAGUGGGGAAGAAGGGAGUUAGGAUGUGGUCAUGUCUCUUCUUCAGUUAAAGCUGUUUUACUGGAUGAAUCCAAGGAAAAGAUUCGCCUUCCAAAAGUUGAUAUGUGGUCAGUCCAUAAGUUUGGUGGUACUUGUGUCGGAACCUCUGAGAGAAUCAAGAAUGUAGCUGAGGUAAUUGUUAAUGAUGGAUCAGAUGGGAAAUUGGUGGUUGUGUCAGCAAUGUCAAAGGUGACAGACAUGAUGUAUGACCUCAUCUACAAGGCACAAUCACGAGAUGAUUCUUAUAUUGCUGCUGCUGAUGCUGUUUUUGAGAAGCAUAGAUUAACGGCAACAGAUCUUCUUGAUGGGGAAGAUCUUGCUAGUUUUCUGGCCCAGUUACAUGAUGAUGUUAAUAACCUCAAAGCCAUGCUUCAUGCAAUAUACAUAGCUGGUCAUGCAACAGAAUCAUUUUCUGAUUUUGUUGUUGGACAUGGAGAGUUAUGGUCUGCUCAGAUGUUAUCAUAUGUCGUCAGAAAGAGCGGGUUAGAUUGUAAAUGGAUGGAUACAAGAGAAGUGCUUAUUGUAAAUCCUACCAGCUCUAAUCAAGUUGAUCCUGAUUUUGUGCAAUCUGAAAAAAGACUUGAAGAAUGGUUCUCUCGAAAUCCAUGUAAGACAAUAGUUGCAACUGGUUUCGUUGCCAGCACACCUCAGAAUAUUCCAACUACUUUGAAGCGGGAUGGAAGUGACUUCUCUGCAGCAAUAAUGGGUGCUCUAUUGAGGGCUCGACAAGUCACUAUUUGGACUGAUGUUAAUGGGGUCUACAGUGCAGACCCCAGAAAAGUUAGUGAGGCUGUGAUACUGAGGACAUUAUCUUAUCAAGAGGCCUGGGAAAUGUCGUAUUUUGGAGCUAAUGUUUUACAUCCCCGCACUAUUAUUCCUGUUAUGCGUUAUGAUAUUCCGAUCAUGAUAAGGAAUAUUUUCAACCUUGCUUCACCUGGAACAAUGAUCUGCCAGCCUUCUAUGAAUGUGAGCGAAGAUGACCAGAAAUUGGACUCCCCUGUCAAAGGUUUUGCGACGAUAGACAAUGUGGCCCUUGUGAAUGUUGAAGGAACCGGAAUGGCUGGUGUUCCUGGCACAGCUAGUGCCAUUUUUAGUGCUGUGAAAGAUGUUGGUGCUAAUGUCAUUAUGAUAUCGCAGGCUAGUAGCGAGCAUUCUGUAUGCUUUGCUGUGCCCGAGAAGGAAGUAAAAGCUGUUGCAGAGGUUUUGCAGUCUAGAUUUCGUCAAGCUUUGGAUGCUGGACGCCUUUCCCAGGUUGCCAUCGUUCCAAAUUGUAGCAUUUUAGCAGCAGUUGGCCAGAAAAUGGCUAGUACUCCUGGAGUCAGUGCUACUCUGUUCAAUGCCCUAGCUAAGGCAAGUAUUAAUGUCCGUGCCAUAGCCCAAGGCUGUUCUGAGUAUAAUAUUACUGUCGUAGUCAAGCGUGAAGAUUGUAUAAGGGCUUUAAGGGCGGUACACUCAAGGUUUUAUCUUUCAAAAACCACAAUAGCUAUGGGAAUUAUUGGACCUGGUUUGAUUGGUGGCACAUUACUUGAUCAGCUCAGAGAUCAGGCAGCAGUCCUUAAGGAAGAAUUUAACAUUGAUUUGCGUGUCAUGGGGAUCACUGGCUCAAGGGGAAUGCUUUUGAGUGAACUUGGAAUUGAU
rnacentral:misc_RNA from 1 species